rnacentral:rRNA from 1 species
UACAGAGGGUGCAAGCGUUGUUCGGAAUUAUUGGGCGUAAAGCGUCCGCAGGUGGCAGUUCAAGUCUGCUGUCAAAGACCGGGGCUUAACUUCGGAAAGGCAGUGGAAACUGAACAGCUAGAGUAUGGUAGGGGCAGAGGGAAUUCCUGGUGUAGCGGUGAAAUGCGUAGAGAUCAGGAAGAACAUCGGUGGCGAAGGCGCUCUGCUGGACCAUAACUGACACUCAGGGACGAAAGCUAGGGGAGCGAAUGGG